UUCCCCGACGAGGAGAUAUACUAAAAUUGGAAUGAUACGGACAAGAUUAGCAUGGUCCCUGUGCAACGAUGACACAUAAAUUCAUGAACCGUUCCAUAUUAGA